GGAAUGUCGCGGGAGCCAACGUUUCGACAAGCCGAUAUUUACAAGCCGCUUGUCGAAACGUUAGCUCCCGCGACAUUCC
rnacentral:pre_miRNA from 1 species